GUGCUCACUUCAGCAGCACGUAUACUAAAACUGGAAUGACACAGAGAAGAUUAGCGUGGUCCCUGUGCAAGGACACCAUGCAAAUCCGUGAAGCGUUCUAUAUUAAA
ensembl:snRNA U6 U6 spliceosomal RNA